GCUUGGCAGGCGUGGUGCCGGCGGGUGGUGGUGGUUACCGUGGUUCCACCCGCGGCUUCCAUGGCAGUGAAGAACGAAGAAGAUGGUUCUGAGUAGUUGUCUGAGAGCGCUAGACGUGGAUCGCUAGAUAGAUUAGUUGUCCUGUGUAGACGUUAUGUUUUGUUGGCCUGUGAGCCUAGUUAGCGGCCUGUGUGCCUUGACACUUUAUGAUUUGUUUGAAUUGAUUAGUUUCCCCGCCCGUGCACCUAUGUUUGAGAUAGGUGUGGCAUAACUUGUCCCGAUUUUAUAUAACUUCCGUUUCCUUUA